GGCUUCGUAGCUCAGCUGGUAGAGUGCUUACCACGUUGAGGCAUGGUGUUUCUAUACCUGGUUCGAAUCCAGCCGAAGCUU
rnacentral:tRNA from 1 species